rnacentral:rRNA from 1 species
UACGGGGGGGGGCAAGCGUUGUUCGGAAUUACUGGGCGUAAAGGGCUCGUAGGCGGCCAACUAAGUCAGACGUGAAAUCCCUCGGCUUAACCGGGGAACUGCAUCUGAUACUGGAUGGCUUGAGUUCGGGAGAGGGAUGCGGAAUUCCAGGUGUAGCGGUGAAAUGCGUAGAUACUCUGGAGGAACACCGGUGGCGAAGGCGGCAUCCUGGACCGACACUGACGCUGAGGAGCGAAAGCCAGGGGAGCAAACGGG